CGCGCUCACGGCUCACUCAAAUAGACCCCGCCACAGAUCACAGAUUAACUGAUUUACCAUGGCAACUAGAGCCGCGUACUUUUCCCCGUCGGAAGCACAAAUCCUCAUGGAGGCAUACGAGGAGGUAAAAGAUAUAAUUAAGAAGAAAGGCAACACCGCCACAGUGAUAAAGCAAAGAGAAAAAGCGUGGCAAAGUAUUGCAGACCGCCUGAAUGCAUUAAACAUGAACUGGCCAAAACGGACAUGGCAGCAGGUCAAAAUCAAAUACAAGAACAUUCUGCAGAAUGGUAUGGUCCCUGACUAAUAUUUAACAAAGCACAAGCAUAUAUUGUACCCAGAAGGUGCCUGCUCACACAUUGUCUGUACUGUUUUAGCAGUGAAAAAGAAUACCCACAGACAAGGCACGGGUGGUGGGUCACCAAAGGCUGACCUUACCCCAGCAGAGGACAUGGCCUUGGAGCUAAAUAAAGGCAGGCCCGUCUUAGAGGGGAUCCCUGGGGGAAAGAGACGAGCAUAGGUUCCUCCCAAGAUGCCACCCGCUUCAUUCAAGUGUCUGGCAGCACUGUGUUCCUGUUAGAGCCACCAGCACAAGCACCAGACGAUGCUGAUCCAGUGAGUACUCCAUCAAAGGCAUACUGUAGGC
ensembl:lncRNA